rnacentral:rRNA from 1 species
UUAGAUACCCUGGUAGUCCACGCCCUAAACGAUGCGAACUGGAUGUUGGUCUCAACUCGGAGAUCAGUGUCGAAGCUAACGCGUUAAGUUCGCCGCCUGGGGAGUACGGUCGCAAGACUGAAACUCAAAGGAAUUGACGGGGGCCCGCACAAGCGGUGGAGUAUGUGGUUUAAUUCGAUGCAACGCGAAGAACCUUACCUGGCCUUGACAUGUCUGGAAUCCUGCAGAGAUGCGGGAGUGCCUUCGGGAAUCAGAACACAGGUGCUGCAUGGCUGUCGUCAGCUCGUGUCGUGAGAUGUUGGGUUAAGUCCCGCAACGAGCGCAACCCUUGUCCUUAGUUGCCAGCGAGUAAUGUCGGGAACUCUAAGGAGACUGCCGGUGACAAACCGGAGGAAGGUGGGGAUGACGUCAAGUCCUCAUGGCCCUUACGGCCAGGGCUACACACGUACUACAAUGGUCGGUACAGAGGGUUGCAAUACCGCGAGGUGGAGCCAAUCCCAGAAAGCCGAUCCCAGUCCGGAUCGAAGUCUGCAACUCGACUUCGUGAAGUCGGAAUCGCUAGUAAUCGCGGAUCAGCUAUGCCGCGGUGAAUACGUUCCCGGGCCUUGUACACACCGCCCGUCACACCAUGGGAGUGAGUUGCUCCAGAAG